rnacentral:rRNA from 1 species
AUUGAACGCUGGCGGCAGGCUUAACACAUGCAAGUCGAACGAGUGGAGGAAGUGAGAGUAAUGUUUGGGAAUCUAGCUUAUGGAGGUGGAUAACUAAGGGACACUGUAUCUAACAACGCGUACCAUAGGAUGAGCCCAAGUGGGAUUAGGUAGUUGGUGAGGUAAAGGCUCACCGAGCCGACGAUCUCUAGCUUGUCUGAGAGGAUGACCAGCCACACUGGGACUGAGACACGGCCCAGACUCUUACGGGAGGCAGCAGUGGGGAAUAUUGCGCAAUGGGGGCAACCUGACGCAGCCAUGCCGCGUGGAUGAAGAAGGCCUUCGGGUUGGAAAGUACUUUCGGUAGCGAGGCGUUAACGACAGAAGAAGCACCGGCUAACUCCGUGCCAGCAGCCGCGGUAAUUC